CACGUAGGGCGCAAGCGUUGUCCGGAAUUAUUGGGCGUAAAGAGCUCGUAGGUGGUUUGUUACGUCCGCUGUGAAAACCUAGGGCUUAACCCUGGGCUUGCAGUGGAUACGGGCAGACUAGAGGUAGGUAGGGGAGAAUGGAAUUCCUGGUGUAGCGGUGAAAUGCGCAGAUAUCAGGAGGAACACCGGUGGCGAAGGCGGGUCUCUGGGCCGAUACUGACGCUGAGGAGCGAAAGCGUGGGGAGCGAACAGG
rnacentral:rRNA from 1 species